GUCCCAGACUCCUACGGGAGGCAGCAGUGGGGAAUAUUGCACAAUGGGGGAACCCUGAUGCAGCGACGCCGCGUGGGUGAAGGAGUAUUUCGGUAUGUAAAGCCCUAUCAGCAGGGAAGAACAAUGACGGUACCUGACUAAGAAGCACCGGCUAAAUACGUGCCAGCAGCCGCGGUAAUACGUAUGGUGCAAGCGUUAUCCGGAUUUACUGGGUGUAAAGGGAGCGCAGGCGGCGCGUUAAGCCUGGUGUGAAAGCCCGCGGCCCAACCGCGGGACUGCAUUGGGAACUGGCGCGCUGGAGUGCCGGAGGGGUAGGCGGAAUUCCUAGUGUAGCGGUGAAAUGCGUAGAUAUUAGGAGGAACACCAGUGGCGAAGGCGGCCUGCUGGACUGCAACUGACGUUGAGGCUCGAAGGCGUGGGGAGCAAACAGGAUUAGAUACCCGAGCA
rnacentral:rRNA from 1 species